UACGUAGGGUGCAAGCGUUAAUCGGAAUUACUGGGCGUAAAGCGUGCGCAGGCGGCUUUGCAAGACAGAUGUGAAAUCCCCGGGCUCAACCUGGGAACUGCAUUUGUGACUGCAUGGCUAGAGUACGGUAGAGGGGGAUGGAAUUCCGCGUGUAGCAGUGAAAUGCGUAGAUAUGCGGAGGAACACCGAUGGCGAAGGCAAUCCCCUGGACCUGUACUGACGCUCAUGCACCAAAGCGUGGGGAGCAAACAGG
rnacentral:rRNA from 1 species